CCACGGAUCAUUCCCUAGGAAUAAAGUCGUUCACAAGAUCGUGCCAAGAAACACUACCAAGAAACCGAUCGUUAUUUGUGAACAUUCACUUCGAUCAUGCUUAAACCGAUACUUUGUUCACGUUCGUUUGUAAAGUAACGAUAUUACGUUGUGUCGAUAAUUAUUCAGAUGUUACGAAAAAUACGAAUACGAAUAUCACAUACGGUGAAAACAUAAACGCGCCAUCAAUUAUUCGUAAACGCACCGCACGCGACAGUUUCGCGAUUUCUUAAAGAUACAUACAGCAACUCGAUCUACAUAGGCGUCAAUCGUAACAAGCAUCUAUCAACACCAGAAUCAAACGCAAAAGCUUUGCUUAAAAUGGAUAGAGGGAGCUGGCCGCAGUUGUCAACGGCGUACGUGAACAGAAGGCUGGUCGAUAUGGGGAAAAAAGAAUACUGAAAGUGACGAUUACCGAGUAGCACAAUAUUCAUGGUAGAGCGGUUAGGUGUGCAAAAACGUUGCAACAACACGGCGCGUGGACGGUCGCGUCUGGACUGAUCGUGGGGGUCGAGCCACAGGUGUCAUCAGACGGCGGCUGCUCCACCCCUCUGCCCCCACACGGCUUCCUCACCCGCCUUCAAUCCCCACUCUCGUCGUUACUUUCACGCACACGUCUACUCGUGCCGGAGGAGACGCGUGCGCACAUCAACCGGCUUCCUCCAUCCUCUAUAAUCAUGCAAUAUCAUUUGCUCUACCCAUGGCGCCUAUGAACUGACCGAACCGCGGCACGUGCUUUGCAUUCUAUCUUACAAAUGAUAUGGACAAGUUUUUCAAAUUGAUCUACAUCGCUAUUAGAAUUAAUAGGAACCAUUAAGAACUCACCGUUUAAUUAUUCACAAUGCGUUUAGAAAUCUGUUUGAGCAUCGGUAAUUUGUCAGUAGCUUGAAAUAUUACAUAAGGUGAAAAUCAGUAGAUAACCAAGCUAUUGUGGAUCGAGCAUUACUUACCGUACACUGUAAGCACUUCAGAAAAGGUGGAUACUUGAAUUACCUCGAAAAUACACACAAACUUAUGGCAGAAAUAGAUGAAGAAUUUAGGCGGGAAAAUAAAGGAGGAUGUUAAGUAUUAUUGAAUAUAAAUGUUCGUAAUUCAAAUAGAUAUUUAUUCAAAAACCAGUGUAUUUCGUGGCAAAAUGUAUAACGUCGUUUAUUGACGCAAUGCUCAUGACGUAUUCUCACUCACCCAGUCGCACUCAUACAAAUUCCUCCCUCUCUGUGAUUUAUACUCUUUACUACUUAUAUGUAUAUAUAUUUUUCUUUAUGUUUGCUUAUAGAAUAUUUAAUAUUUUUCUCUCUAUUUAUCCAUCAUUUUUGUUUCAAUUCGUAUCUGUACACAUAGUAUCACUGAAUUUAUUCCUAACACAACUUGAAGAACUGUAUUACAUACAUAAACAUAUGCAUGAAAUCAAUUUGAGACUAGUCAUCCGACACCAAGCGAUCUUAAUACCAAAAUAGUAACAUUUAUCUGGUAUCGGUAAUUUACAAUUGACGUGCCAAAAUAAACACAAUGGGGUUUUAUCUACACGUAUUACCAUUCCUUGGUGCAAAAUUGUACGUACCCAUAUUUUAUGUAUACAUAUUUUAAACAGUACAUAUAAUUAUUGAUAAUAGUUACAUAAUUGAACAACUUAUACAUUUCUUGCAUAUCGCGCGUAGGAUCAUUAUACGCAUUUGUAUUAACAAGAAUGAAUGCAAUGACGCUAUGCGUACAAUAUAUCAUUGUAAUAUUAGAAUUAUCGAUAGUCUAAUUACAUAUACAGUAUGUGAUAUGGGUGCUUAGCCACCGUUUCAGCUAUGCGGUACGUAAUUUCCCACGCACCCAAAUGUUCGUUUUUAUAAACGAGCUAAUAAUACGAGUUUUCCUUUCUAAUUCGUAAAAGGAAUCGCACAACAAAUCACUCGUAUCGAUUUAUUGAAUUAAAAUGAACAAUCUGUUGUAUAAUUGUUUUAACGUUCCUUUGUACUAUUUUUAUAAAAAUAUUUACCGAUCUUUAACAGGAGAAAGUUUGCAAGUAGAACUAUUUUCUUAGUUCUUACGAAGAGAAGGAGAAACUUAUCGAUUUCUCGUUGCUAGCAAAGUCAAACUCGUAUGAUUGGCUCCAAAACAAAUUGGCAACCUUUCGGUCGCCCUCGACUUCGUCGCGUGUCACUUGUGAGACUCGCACGACCGUCCUGGGAAACGGAAGGGCCACUCACUUCCUUCCUCAUCCAAACGAUUGUUUUCUUUUUCGCAAAAGGAUUUUAAGUAUGUGCAAAGUAUGUGCAGAUGAGAGAGAACCAGACUACGUUGCUGUGGAAAUUGUUCCAAAAAUCAUUCCAAUGCAUCCAACUUCGUUAAACACGUGUAAUAAUAAUCAUAAACUAUGAAAGUCAGUAAAAAAUAAUGAAUAGUAGAAAAAUCUACGUAUUAGAAGCGGUUAAUUUCUUUUUCUAUCGCGUGAAACAAAAACAUACUGUGAAAGUUGCAACAAUAUAAAAUAUAUAUUCGUGAUUGAUUAAUAUAAUUUUUCGAAGUAGUAGUAAAUAGAAAAUAUAGGGCAUAAUUAUACUUCGAUUGAACUGUAAACACAUAAAUCAUGCUCUAUACCAUUGCUAACAUUUAAUGCAAAUCUACGUCGCAUAAGUAAUUGAUUUAGUCUUAAAAGUUAAUGAUUAAAGGGACACUCGUUAUGUCCGAAAAGCCUCUUCUAUAUGUCAUAAUAUAUGUACUAUUCAACAUGAUAUCAUUUUUUAUUUAUUUUUAUACUUGUAAUAAUACUAAAAUAAAAUAAUCUUGCGUUGUCUUCGGCUUAAUUUCUGAAGAGCCACGUCGAUAAAGAACCAAAAGCUACGGCCCUGUUAAGCGCCGAUACAUCUGUAAAUUUCUAGACGAGACUGAAAUUUCCAUGGCGAUAUAUCAGAAGUUUCCCAGGACGAAUAAUUCGAUGACAAAAAUUGGCCAACAAGUUUCUCUUCAUUUUUCAACGAAGUUAUAUUUCGUGAGAGUAAAUAUAUAUAUAUAUAAAUAAUUUCUACAAUAUGUCGUUUUAUAAACACGUACAAUUAAAAUGUACAAUUUGUCCUUCAACGCAAAAGUAAAAUAAAAAUUUGAAAUCAAAAAGAUAAAAAAUGCUGGCCAUUCUUUUCUGUCAUCUGCUCGCUUCAUUCGACGGACGCUUCUAAAAUACUGCCAAAAUUUCUCUACAAAAGCGAAGACCUUAUGUCGGUUAAAUUGCACCAAUAAAGCAAAUGAUCUACCUUAA